AAAGGACCCGCCCGAGCGGUAUAGGCCUGAGCCUCUGGGCACUGCGGCCGCGUCCGGCAGGGCUGCCACGGCAGUACAGGGCCUGCACAUCCGGGAGCUCACGCCCUCCUGCGCGUAGCCCGCUAGUGAGGUUCCGAAGGGCGGGGCCGGGCCGAACCGGAUAUGCCGGUUCUGGGGCUCAGGUGACAAACCCAGGCCUUCCGCCCCUCGCCUCUGGUGGGGAUCCGGCCCAACCCGGAGCUUCCUAGACUUGCUUCCAGGUGUCGAAGCCUCGAGUCCUCAAGAGGUCCAGCAAAAAGGCAAAGGACGCAGGAGGCUGUUCGAUCUCGCUGUUGUCGCCCAGGCUGGAGUACAAUGGCGGGAUCUCGGCUCACUGCAACCUCCGCCUCCCGAGUUCAAGCGAUUCUAGUACCUCAGCCUCCGGAGUAGCUGGGAUUAAAGGGGGGAGCCACCACCUACGGCUAAUUUUUGUAUUUUUAAUAGAGACACGGUUUCACCAUGUUGGCCAGGCUGGUCUCGAACUCCUGACCUCAACCAAUCCACCCGCCUGGGCCUCCCAAAGUGUUGGGAUUACAGGCGUGAGCCACCGCACCCGGCCCACUAAUGUUUUUCUUCAGCAUAUCAUUCUGAACACUUCUUUCACCUCUAAACAUCUACUAUUUCUUUUAAGCUUCACUCUUUAUAUGCAUUUUCUCUAUAGAGCUAUAUAAAUUAGGAAAUGUCUUAAUAGAAAACUCAAAACAUGACAGAAUAAAAAAUAAUUGAUUCUCCCA